CCACUAGGUUGCACUAGAGGGGAGUGAGAACUGGAUAUGUUCCAGUUCACCAUAGAACAAGUGAGUCGUGUUUGGUAGAGGGAACCACAUGGUAAACUUAGGCUACCGACCCACUCCGGUUCUGAUUUUUUUGAGAACAUUAUUGUUGCUACUCAAAUACAGGACCUGUUGUCCUAGAGAUGUUCAGAUGAGGUGUUUGUUGGUGCUUUCAAUGGACUGCAAUGAUUUGGUUUCAACAUUCUUUAUGCUUCUCAUUGGCAAGUGAACUAUAUGUGUACACUUGGGAUGAUGGUCAGUGACUCUUAAAUUCCUCAUCGUACUACCGAUUUCCCAGUUUAAGGAAGUGGAUAAUAUUGCAUCGCACUCAAAUCCAUCUACGCAACAUUCACCCAACCAUCUAUAUUGAUUACUUUUGUUUGUGUGGACUAUAUACUGUAUACACCUGUAGAGAAAUUAAACAAGAAGGAAAAAGGGAAGAACAGGCUUGUGAAGUUUAUUUUAAUUUCAGUAUGUGUGAAAUAAAAAUUCUGUGAACUCCCUCAGUGUAACAUCUUGCAUGCAUAGAGGUGGUGUUACAAUUGUUAGUAGCCUCCAGAACCUCAACACACCAGAUCAAAUGUGACACGAUGAAGGGGUAUGUUAAAAAUUGUUUAGCAAACGUCAAACUUUUUUUUUUUUUUUAAAUUAGAUCAAGGUCGAUAUGAGUGUAUGUUAAUACGUAAACAAAUUUAUGUAAUUCUAUUCACAAGCAGAGACAAAACAAUAGCAAUGUUGUUAGUUUGAGUCAAUUUCUAGCUAGCUAUGUGUAAGCUAGCAACAUAUACUACAUCUCACUUAUGUAGGUAAGUUUUCCUAUAAAUGUUUUUGUCUGUUUUUAGGCUGCAUGAGAGCCUUUUUUGGGAAGAUAUUUUUCUGACCUGUUCUUAUCUUUUUAUUUUUAUUAACUUCAUCGUUUAAAAUAAUUAAAUUACAUUUGCAGCAAAAUUACAAUGCGUGUAACACUCCAUACGAGAAUUUAACGGCACACUCACUAAAAAGCUAAAUUAAUUAAUUAUUUAAUUAAUUUAAUAAUAAAUGUUAUGUGCGUUUAUAUUAAAACAACAAAACAUUCAUUAUCAGUAAUUGACCACCAACAAUCACAAAUAAACCUAUAUAUGUUCUUACUAAUUUUAUUUUAUUUUCACUUAAUCUUAAUCAUGUCUGAUUAAUUAUUGAAGUUAUUUUUGCUAGUAUUGUUAAAUAUUAAAUUAUAGACUGUAUGUGUUUGCUGGAUAAUUAGGCCUAUAUGUUAAUUGUGAUGUCUACUUCACCUGUGAAUCUGUGAUUAUCCAUUCUUUUUAUGGUACUGUUUGGGAUUGUAUCCCAAAUAAUAAUAGUAGUAAUAGAAAAUAAUAAUAGAAAAUAAACAAUAAAAAAGCUUAA